rnacentral:rRNA from 1 species
UACGGAGGGUGCAAGCGUUGUCCGGAUUUACUGGGCGUAAAGCGUGCGCAGGCGGUUUUGUAAGUCUGACGUGAAAUCCCCGGGCUCAACCUGGGAAUUGCGUUGGAGACUGCAAGGCUAGAAUCUGGCAGAGGGGGGUAGAAUUCCACGUGUAGCAGUGAAAUGCGUAGAGAUGUGGAGGAACACCGAUGGCGAAGGCAGCCCCCUGGGUCAAGAUUGACGCUCAUGCACGAAAGCGUGGGGAGCAAACAGG